rnacentral:rRNA from 1 species
UACGGAGGGUGCAAGCGUUAAUCGGAAUUACUGGGCGUAAAGCGCACGCAGGUGGCUGAGUCAGUCGAUUGUGAAAGCCCUGGGCUUAACCUGGGAAUUGCAGUCGAUACUACUCAGCUAGAGUAUGGGAGAGGGUAGUGGAAUUCCAGGUGUAGCGGUGAAAUGCGUAGAUAUCUGGAGGAACACCGGUGGCGAAGGCGGCAUCCUGGACCGGCAUUGACGCUGAGGCGCGAAAGCUAGGGGAGCAAACGGG